rnacentral:lncRNA from 1 species
ACCAUUGUACUUGUUGUACUAAUUACGCUACAUGAUCAAGAAACAUGGAGAAAUUAAAAUAUAUUUGAUGUUACUGACAGGUGAAAGCGCGGAGGUGACAGCUGACGGCGAAGGCGGCCAUAGUCAUGGUUACGGGUAUCCGGGCAAGGGCCACGGUGGUGGUGGUGGAGGAAAGGGAAAAGGUGGGUGCAGAUAUGGGUGCUGCCGUGGAUACAGAUAUUCACAUGGUUGCAAUAGGUGUUGUUCCACUGCUAAUCAGGCUCAUGAUCUUCAUUUUGCAGAUGAUAUCCCCAAUUAAUUAUUAAUAUUUAUUAAUUAAUGUCCCUAUUUCUAUAUAUAUAUAUAUAUAAUUCGAGUUUUUGUUUGUUCGUGUGAUAUAUGUGUAAUAAUUGGGAUAGAAAAA